rnacentral:rRNA from 1 species
ACCUACGGGGGCAGCAGUAGGGAAUCUUCCACAAUGGGCGAAAGCCUGAUGGAGCAACGCCGCGUGGGUGAAGAAGGUCUUCGGAUCGUAAAACCCUGUUGUUAGAGAAGAAAGUGCGUGAGAGUAACUGUUCACGUUUCGACGGUAUCUAACCAAAAAGCCACGGCUAACUACGUGCCAGCAGCCGCGGUAAUACGUAGGUGGCAAGCGUUAUCCGGAUUUAUUGGGCGUAAAGGGAACGCAGGCGGUCUUUUAAGUCUGAUGUGAAAGCCAUCGGCUUAACCGGAGUAGUGCAUUGGAAACUG